AGCGAACGCUGGCGGCGUGCCUAACACAUGCAAGUCGAACGUGAAAAGGGGCAACCCUGAGUAAAGUGGCGCACGGGUGAGUAACACGUAGGUAAUCUACCUUAAAGCCUGGAAUAACCUGCCGAAAGGCGGGCUAAUACCAGAUAGAGCGAAGGACCCGUAAAGGGUUUUUCGGGAAAGGGAGCUCGCAAGAGCCCUCACUUUAGGAUGAGCCUGCGUCUCAUUAGCUAGUUGGUGAGGUAAUGGCUCACCAAGGCUUUGAUGAGUAGCUGGUCUAAGAGGAUGAUCAGCCACACUGGAACUGAAACACGGUCCAGACUCCUACGGGAGGCAGCAGUGGGGAAUAUUGCGCAAUGGACGAAAGUCUGACGCAGCAACGCCGCGUGAGUGAAGAAGGCCUUCGGGUUGUAAAGCUCUGUCGGGCGGGACGAAAAACCGUAUGGUUCAUAGCCAUGCGGCCUGACGGUACCGCCAAAGGAAGCACCGGCUAACUCUGUGCCAGCCGCCGCUGUAA
rnacentral:rRNA from 1 species